AGAGAAUUGCUUUAACCCAGGAGUCGGAUGUUGAAGUGGGCUGAGAUUGCACCAUUGCAUUCCAGCCUGGGUGACAGAG
rnacentral:snRNA from 1 species